rnacentral:rRNA from 1 species
GUCAAAAGAAAACAAUACCCUGAACAAGCCUGACCCCAUCUGAUCUCAGAAGCUAAGCAGGGUCAGGCCUGGUUAGUACUUGGAUGGGAAACCACCUAGGAAAACCAGGUGCUGUAGGCG